ACCUGGGUGGCUCAGUCGAUUGAGUGUCUGACUUCGGCUCAGGUCAUGAUCUCACGGUUUGUGGGUUCAAGCCCCACGUCGGGCU
rnacentral:tRNA from 1 species